ACGCAAGGAGCUGGAGACUGACAAGGCAGCACAGCCUGCAGCUGGGUGUGAACUGGAGAAUCCGCCCAUGUCACAAACAGCAGGAAAUUCAGCCUCACAGGACCCAGGCAAGGGGACAAAACAAAAAUUAGCAGUUUUAACGGUGUCUGUAACCUGUUCCCUCCUGGCACAUCCUGCUUUUUUGAUGGGUACAGUCUGAAGAUAUGGCUAGAACAAAAUCAGAGAUCCCAGCAGCACUGGAAUCCCUUCAGACUUCCUCAUGUUUCCACUGCACUAGUCCAGCU